rnacentral:rRNA from 1 species
UACGUAGGUUGCGAGCGUUAAUCGGAAUUACUGGGCGUAAAGCGUGCGCAGGCGGCUUUGCAAGACAGAUGUGAAAUCCCCGGGCUUAACCUGGGAACUGCAUUUGUGACUGCAGGGCUAGAGUACGGCAGAGGGGGAUGGAAUUUCGCGUGUAGCAGUGAAAUGCGUAGAUAUGCGGAGGAAUACCAAUGGCGAAGGCAAUCCCCUGGGCCUGUACUGACGCUCAUGCACGAAAGCGUGGGGAGCAAACAGG